rnacentral:misc_RNA from 1 species
GCACCACGGCGUCGAUCCGCGUGGUCCAGGUGUCGGGCUUUGUCGGCAGGCCGAUGGUGGCCGCGAUAAUGCGGUCCGCCUCGCGUUGGGUGGCUCGCAGUUCGGCGACNAGCGAGCGGCUGCCAGAAAUUUUGCUGCGACGCCACUGGCGCCUGCGAUUCGAAUGAGUUCGUCGAUACGACGCAAGAGAUCGGUGGCGCCACCCUUGCGCACCGCGAUCGAGGUCACAACUGGGAUAUCCAAGGCCUCGGACAAGCGCGCGACAUCGACGGUGACGCCACGUCGGGUGG